rnacentral:rRNA from 1 species
UGCCAGUAGUCAUAUGCUUGUCUCAAAGAUUAAGCCAUGCAUGUCUAAGUCCAAGCUGUGUUCACACGGCGAGACCGCGGACGGCUCAUUAAAUCAGUCGUGGUCCAAAUGGGCCAGUGCAAAUCCUACUUGGAUAACUGUGGUAAUUCCAGAGCUAAUACAUGCAACUGAUAUCCCGAAGGCGGUGUUUGGGCUUGCUUGCCUUGCGCUGCGCUGCUCUGACGGAUGCUUUUAUUAGACCAAGCCGCUGAGGACUUGAGGGUUCGCGCUCUCUUGUCUGACUCGUGUGAUGGUGACUCUGGAUAACCAAAUUCUGACAAGCGCACGUACUUCUCUUCUGAGCGAGACGGCGCUGCCACUUUCGAGUGUCUGCCUUAUCAGCUAUCAACCGUUCGUUAUGCGCGACCGAUGGCUUUGACGGGUAACGGGGAAUCAGGGUUCGAUUCCGGAGAGGCAGCCUGAGAGACGGCUACCACGUCCAAGGACGGCAGCAGGCACGCAAAUUACCCAAUCCCAGCAAAUGGGGGAGGUAGUGACGAAAUCUAACGAUGCGGGCGCCCUUUCUGGGGCCCCGCAAUCGGAAUGGGCACUUUCUAAACAACCUGUUGAGAACCUAC